CCUACGGGGGGCAGCAGUGAGGAAUAUUGGUCAAUGGACGAGAGUCUGAACCAGCCAAGUAGCGUGAAGGAUGACUGCCCUAUGGGUUGUAAACUUCUUUUAUAUGGGAAUAAAAUGUUCCACGUGUGGGAUUUUGUAUGUACCAUAUGAAUAAGGAACGGAUAACUCCGUGCCAGCAGCCGCGGUAAUACGGAGGAUCCGAGCGUUAACCGGAUUUAUUGGGUUUAAAGGGGGCGUAGGUGGAUUGUUAAGUCAGUUGUGAAAGUUUGCGGGUCAACCGGAAAAGUGCAGUUGAUACUGGCAGUCUUGAGUGCAGAAGAGGUGGGCGGAAUGCGUGGUGUAGCGGUGAAAUGCUUAGAUAUCACGAAGAACUACGAUUGCGAAGGCAGUUCACUGGACUGCAACUGACGCUGAGGCUCGAAAGUGUGGGUAUCAAACAGGAUUAGAUACCCUAGUAGUC
rnacentral:rRNA from 1 species